rnacentral:rRNA from 1 species
CCUACGGGUGGCUGCAGUGGGGAAUAUUGCACAAUGGGGGAAACCCUGAUGCAGCGACGCCGCGUGAGCGAUGACGUAUUUCGGUAUUUAAAGCUCUAUCAGCAGGGGAGAAAAUGACGGUACCUGACUAAGAAGCCCCGGCUAACUACGUGCCAGCAUCCGCUGUCAUACGGAGGGGGCAAGCGUUAUCCGGAUUUACUGGGUGUAAAGGGAGCGUAGACGGCGAUGCAGGCCAGAUGUGAAAGCCGGGGGCUCAACCCCGGGACUGCAUUUGAAACUGUAUAGCUGGAGUGUGGGAGAGGCAGGCGGAAUGCGUAGUGUAGCGGUGAAAUGCGUAGAUAUUAGGAGGAACACCAGUGGCGAAGGCGGCAUGCUGGACGAUGACUGACGUUGAGGCUCGAAAGUGUGGGGAGCAAACAGGAUUAGAUACCCGAGUAGUC